CCUACGGGAGGCAGCAGUGAGGAAUAUUGGUCAAUGGGCGUAAGCCUGAACCAGCCAAGUCGCGUGGGGGAUGAAGGUUCUAUGGAUCGUAAACCUCUUUUAUACGGGAAUAAAGUGUGGGACGUGUCCUAUUUUGUAUGUACCUUAUGAGUAAGGAUCGGCUAACUCCGUGCCAGCAGCCGCGGUACUACGGAGGAUCCGAGCGUUAUCCGGAUUUAUUGGGUUUAAAGGGUGCGUAGGCGGGCUUUUAAGUCAGCGGUGAAAGUCUGUGGCUCAAACAUGGAAUUGCCUUUGAAACUGGGGGGCUUGAGUAUGUUCGAGGCAGGCGGAAUGCGUGGUGUAGCGGUGAAAUGCUUAGAUAUAACGCAGAACCACGGUUGCGAAGGCAGCCUGCCAAGCCAUGACUGACGGUGAUGCACGAAAGCGUGGGGAUCAAACAGGAUUAGAUACCCGUGUAGUC
rnacentral:rRNA from 1 species